GAGAUUCUCCAUCUCCUAUGUUUCAAUAGCUCAUUUCUUUUUACUGCUGAAUAGCAUUCCAUUGUAUGCAUAUACUGCAGCUGGCGCAUCCAUUCACCUGUGGAUAGAUAGCUGGGUUGUUUCCAGCAUGGGGCUAUUACAAACAGAGCUAUGAACAUUAUAGACAAAUCUGUUUAUAGACAUUAUUUCCUUUUCUCUUGGGUAAUAUCUAGGAGUGAAAAGGAUAUAUAGUAAGAGUAAGUAUAAUUUUAUAAGGAACUGCCAAAAUGUUUACCAAAGUGGUCAAACCAUUUUACAUUCCCAGAAGCAGUGUGAGCAUGAGAAUUCCAGUUUCUCCAUACCCUAGUCAACACCUGACAUGGUCAAUCUUUUUCAUUCUAUUCCAAUAGGUCUGUUAUGGUAUGUUAUUAUGGUUUUAAUUUGCAUUUUCCUCAUGACUAAUGAUGUUGAGUAUCUUUUCAUGUGCCUUUUUGCCAUCCAUGUAUCUUAUUUGGUUACCUGUAUCUUCAAAUCUUUUGCCCAUUUUAAAAAUUAUAUUUUUAAUUAUUAUUAAGCUUUGUGGAAUGUACAUUCUGCCUUUAUUUUUCUAUUUUUGCUUUUUAGGGCCACACAUGUGGCAUAUGGAGGUUCCCAGGCUAGGGGUCGAAUCGGAGCUAUAGCUGCUGGCCUAUGCCACAGCCACAGCAACGAGGGAUCCAAGCCAUAUGUACAACCUAUACCACAGCUCAUGGCAAUGCUGGGUCCAUAACCCACUGAGCAAGGCCAGGGAUCGAACCCACAACCUCAUGGUUCCUAAGCAGAUUUGUUUCUGCUGCGCCACGAUGGGAACUCCUGAGGGGUAUUUAUAUAUUUUUGACAUAAAUCCUUUAUCCAAUAUAUGAUUUACAAAUAUUUUCUCCCAGUCUGUGGUAUUUUUAUUCUCUUCAUGUUGUCUUUUGAAGACCCAAAGUUUUUAAUUUUGAUGAACACUAAUUCAUCAAUUUUUAAAAAACUGAUUGCAUCAUUUCUUUACUUCUCAAGUGCUUGUCUGUUCAUCUCCACUAGUCAGUGAGUUCCUUGAGGGCAAAGACCACCUUCUUCUAUCUCUGGAUUCCUGGCAUCAAGACAACACUUAGCACUUAAGAGACACUGAAAUUAUCGUUCUUAUCGUCAUGUUAUUAUUCCUGGUUGUUAUGGGAAAUCCCAUGAGUGUCCUGGCAUCUGCUAUGUGAUAAACAUUCCUAUUUACAGGAAUAGAGAUUUUCUAUGUGAUCAUUUUUCUGAGCAAGGAAUGUCUACAAAGGCCUCUGUGCAUUUCCCCAUAAGAUACCUGUAUAUUUAAAUAGAGAGAAUGGAUAACAGAAAAAUUUGCUCCUGAAGGCCCUUCAUUUGGAACUCCUGCUUGCUCUCUCUUUCAAUCAGGCGGAGUCAUUUCUUUCUGGAAUAAGUAAAGAAAAAUCUUAUAACAGUAUUUCCCCUUGGGCAGACGUCAAAGGGGACUUCACCAGGAAAGCAGUUCAAGUAAAUAUCAUCACGGGCCUGCUGUUUUAACCCCAGGACAGGUGUUUAAAGGAAGAGAUAAAACAUCUCCUGCAUCUGUAAGAACCACUGCCUAGACAUUUCCUCCAGUGGUCCCACUGUGGGCUCCUGGCCCCCACCAAGGUUUUCCACAAGAACCACACCAGCUGUGAUGCUGGUUCCUUCAGGCCAAGAGCCAUGGAGGGCCUAUCUAAAUGUUGUUGGAAUGUUAAAUUUGGUAGAAAGCAAAUAGGCAUUUGGCUUAUGGAGUUCUGAAACUUCCAUCUUUCACAAUAAAAAGAUUCUAAGGAUGAUUCCAAUCUGGAAAUAUGGGAGAUUAAGAUAACCACCAAUGAUAACAUACUUCAAAAGCCAAGAAUUGCUGAUAAAAUAUGUUUAAAAUAUAUUGUUAGACCCACAAGAAAAAAAAAAAAGUGGAAACUUUCAGGUGCCAAAAAGGAGCAUGAAACCAGAGUGGUAGUUUAGAAGCUAGUGAUGCUGUCUGUGGUUAUCACAAAGAUAAAAGGUAAGAUGUUGGACUCAUGCAAGAUUGGAGAAUUGGAAUUGAGAACUCCCAACUUGGAACUCUGGAAAAGUGGUAUCCUCUGAAAAGAUUGGCUAGAGCAAAACCUGUCAGCACAAAUAAACAAGAAGUCUUGUCUGUCUCUGAAUUCUAGAUGAGCAAAAAUAUCUCCUUGGGGAAUUAGAAACCGCAGACAGAUCUGGGGCCCAAAUUUACCUACAUUUUCUAGAAAUUUCUCAGUUGAGAAAUUAUCAUAAAAAUUUGUACUCUACUAGUGAAAGAACUCUGAGGCUCCUGGAAAAAGCAAAACCAUUAAUGCCACAAGGAAUUGGGGUGGGGGGGGCUAAUCUAAGAUACACUCACAAUUAAAAUUUUCAAAAUCCACAAGGAGAAACCUACCAUACCCAAAAGGCUGAACCCACACUAGAGACAAGACUAGAUUCUCAAAAAAUUGAAGCAAUGGAAUUAAAAUCUGAAAGAGGAUUUUUAAAAACACCCUGUAGUAUCUAAAAUAAUUAUAUAUCUAAUAAAAAAAAGAUAGAAAUCUUAAGAAAAGUCAGAAAAUAGGCAGCCUGAAGAAGUUUUAAAGAAUGUGAAUAGUAAGUAUGAUAUAAUAAACAUUUUUAGAUCCAAAUCUAUAACCAAUACUGGCAAGUCUUCAAAUUCCCAUGUGUUUGGAAAUAAUUCAUGGGUCAAUAAAAGAAUUUUAAUAAAUAUUAGAAGAUAUUUUGCACUGAAAGUAAAUGAAAAUGCCAUGUAUAAAGAUGUAGAGAAUUCAGCUAUGUGGUACUUAAAGGCAAUAUUUUAUAACAUAUGUAAUAGAACUUAAGAGAGACUUAGAAUUAGUUAGCUAAGCAUCCAACUUAAGAAGUUGGGAAAAGACCAACAGCAUAAACCCCCCCAUCAAAAACUGGAAAAUAAAACAAAUUUUAAAGAUCAGGAGGGAAGUUGAUAAAAAGAGGAACACUAGAAAAAUCAAUAAAAGUUUUUGUUUGAAAAAUGACUAAGUAAAAUAAACUAAUCUCCAACAAGACUGAUUAAGAAAACAGUGAAUAAUUUUUUUAAAAAUUUAUACAUGCACAUAAAUCACCAAUGAGGAAAAAAAUAGAAAAAAAGCUAGUUAUAUAUACAGUGGAAAUUGUCAGAAAGCACAAGAAAAUACUAUGAACAACAUUUGAAUAGAUUCAAGAAACAAUAGUUAAGAAAGAUGUAAUUUACCAAAACUGUCCAAGAUGUAUAAAAUUUGAAUACACCUAUAAUCAGUAAAGAAAAUGAAUCAAUAGUUUAAAGUUUAGGGGUUCUUGCUGUGACACAGUGGGUUAAGGAUCCAACUGCUGCAGCUCAGGACACUGACAAGGUACAGAUUCAAUCCUUGGCCCAGUGGAUUAAAGGGUCUUUGUUGCCCCAGUGGCAGCACAGCUCACAGCUUCCUGGCCUGGGAACUUCCAUAUGCCACAAGUGCGGCCAUUAAAAAAAAAGUUUAAAAUUUAUUCACACACAGACACACAUGCACAUGCACACAGGCACACAUACACAUAAAUAUACCCUACACACACACACACACAUACAAAAAAACCUCAAAUGAUUCCAUAGGUAAGUUCUACCAAACACUGAAGGAACAGAUAUUUUCUAUCUUAUUCAAAUUGUUUCACAAAGCAGAAAAAGAAGAAAUGCCUCUCCUCCUCAUUUAAUGAGAGUGGUAUAGCCUUAGUACCACUCAGAUCGGACAGUGUUAGAAUAGAAAACCAUAGGCCCAUCUCACAAACAUAGGCACCCAGAAGAAUUUUAUAAACUGUUAUCAAACUAAAUAUAGCAAUAUGACAAAAAACCUUUAUUGUAGGUUUCAUCCCAGGAAGAUUUAAUGUUAGAAAACCUAUUUAUAUAAUCCACUCAAUAAAAAGUAGAUGAGAAAAGGACAUGU
rnacentral:lncRNA from 1 species